rnacentral:rRNA from 1 species
CCUACGGGUUGCUGCAGUGGGGAAUAUUGGACAAUGGGCGAAAGCCUGAUCCAGCCAUGCCGCGUGUGUGAAGAAGGCCUUCGGGUUGUAAAGCACUUUCAGUGGGGAAGAAAGCCUUGGGGCUAAUACCCUCGAGGAAGGACAUCACCCACAGAAGAAGCACCGGCUAACUCCGUGCCAGCAGCCGCGGUAAUACGGAGGGUGCGAGCGUUAAUCGGAAUUACUGGGCGUAAAGCGCGCGUAGGCGGUCUGAUAAGCCGGUUGUGAAAGCCCCGGGCUCAACCUGGGAACGGCAUCCGGAACUGGCAGGCUAGAGUGCAGGAGAGGAAGGUAGAAUUCCCGGUGUAGCGGUGAAAUGCGUAGAGAUCGGGAGGAAUACCAGUGGCGAAGGCGGCCUUCUGGACUGACACUGACGCUGAGGUGCGAAAGCGUGGGUAGCAAACAGGAUUAGAUACCCGGGUAGUC